UCUGACGAAGAAAGAAAUAAGCUAAACGACAUGAUCGCAAGUGUUGGUUAACUUUGUCAAACCUACGAGCUUUAUUCAUGAUAUGCUCAGAUAAUACAAAUUAGAAGGAGGAGGGCUUUGAAUGCUUGUCGAUGCAAAUUACACCCCUAAAUCCUACGGCAAGCUACAAAUUAAACUAAGCAUUUAUCACUUUAUGCAGCGCGAGCUACAAAACAAUUCACAUUCUGACAACAUUUAAGGGGCAAAUCAAAGUUCAUAGCCAUGCACCAAAAGAACAGUAUAAAAAUAUGAAGAGUCAAAAUCAAAAUGAUUGCUGAUUACAAACAUUUUUUCGGCAGUGAACUGCCCCUCGAAAUUUUUAAACUAUGACACUCAAUAACCCAGUUUGCAUUUGAGUGGGUCUUCGUCCAGAGAAAGAUCUGACCAAAACAAGUGGUGGGCUGGGGGGCUAAACGUUAAGGAGAAGACCACGCCUUUUGGCUUGGCUGAGAUUGCUUCCCUCGACUAUUCAGAAACGCCCUCUACUACACUGAUGUCUUAUCUAUUUCAUGAGUUUUUUUAAAUGUUUAAAAUAUUGUUUCUUUCUUGGUUGAUUUCUGUCCUUUUGCGGUUAUUCGCAAAUAUAUUUCUUGGGCUAUUUUCGAAAGCUUUUUACGUUAAUUUUGGUUCCAUUUGAGAUACGGCAUAGUCUCUAUAGCAAUAGUGAAAAUGGUGGUUCAGUUCUUUCAGCUAGGUGGCUGAGUUUCAUAGGUAAUUCUACUUUACAUUUUAUAAUUAUCUAGUGGUUUUAAUUUGUUUUUCUUUGUGCAACAGUUGGUCUUAAUUAGUUCAAACUAGACCUACCUUUUUCAACCCACUGUAAAAUGUUAUAACAAUAAUAAUGGAAACUUUUUAUUUUCAAUUCAAUUAAAACUACAAUUACAAAUUUCACUAUUACAAAGGUAAUUUGAAAUUGGCUAGCCUGUGUUAACAAAGAAAAAGACGAAUACAAGCACAGACAAAAAUAAAUUAAGAAAGAAAAAAAGGAAAAGUUUGCUCGCCUUUGUUUGUUUCAGAAGUUGUCAGUAGCAGAGAUUCUGCGGCAUAUAAUAAUGGAAACUUUUCAUUUUGAAUUCCAGUUUAAAACUACAAUUCCAAAUCUCACUAUUACAAGGUAAUUUGUCACUGGCUAGCCUGGUUUACAAAAUAAAAACUAUUACAAUCGUAGUAAUGAGAAAAGAAAAAAAAUGUUAAAAGGGGAGUAGCUCUGGAUUAGUCCAAGUUUUGUUUCUACAGCAGAAUAUAUAGUAUGUGAUGCGAAUGGAGAUGCUUGUAAGUUUGGAGAUGAGAUAGCGUUUCUGUUGAUGAUCAAUGGACAAAGAGUCACACAUGUCGAUGAAUGAGCUGGAGGAGGUGCCAAAAAUACCAAGUGAACUGAUGGAAAGAUUGACAAACGAGACUGACUUAAACUGACGUUUUAAGUCAGAUACGAGGGUGGCAUAUUUCUCUGACUUUCUGACAGCAUUGCAGUUGAGAUUUGUUUCAAAGCCUAUGGUUAACUCUAAAAUGCACAGACAGUUUUCCUUAGGUUUGAGAAGUAAGUCAGGGCGUAGUUGAUCUCCAGUUAUGAUAGACGGGGAAAGAAAGCCUGGUAAAUCUGCGUAGAGAGAAGACCCAUUUAUUGCUUCGAAGAAAGUGGCUAGAAAGUUUAAUGCAGAAUUAUGAUGCCAAGUAUAGCGGCCUUGGUCAAGGUACACUUUGCAUCCAGCAACAACGUGUAGAAGUGUUUUUGGAAGAAAACAGAAUUCACAGUCAGAUGUUUGACUAAGGUUCCAUUUCAGCAGAUUUUUACGAGUUGGAAGAGUGUUGUUAAGAUACUUGAUGGUAAAGUUAAAGAUGUUACUAGGCAAAUUGCUCUGUGUACUUGACUAAAUACCGUUCAGCUUUUCCAGUGAAUGUUUCAGUAGGAAGGUAAUUGUAGCUCCCUGAGAUGGUAAGUUUUGAGAGAGACGUUCUUUGUUGUCUGAUUUGACAGCCUUUAAUACCUCUUUAGUAUUCGAUAGAUGUCGUACUGUAGGUUCGUGCCAUGACUGGUGUCUUUCCAUAGGGUUUGAAUGUCAAUGUUAGGAGAAGAUUUUAGGGCAUUGCGACAGACCGUUUGGCAUUGCGUAAAUUUGAUAGAAGGCAGUUGUAGAUUUAGGCCAAACUGAUUUUUUGAGAGGAUUAUUCCACUCAAUGUUGCAGAAACAGGAAGAUCAAGCCACUGACGAAUGUAAUUGGAAACAAGAUUGUCCAGGUUUUGGACAACCCAGGUCUUUGAUAGAUCUGCAACAGUAAAAUGCCAUGAAACUUUAAACAGAACAUAACGAUGGUAUAAUAGCAGUUUGUUUUUAGGGUGGGGAGGUAAGUCGUCAUUAUCCUUCAUAAGAGUAGAGAAAAGAGAAACGAGUUUAGAUUUAUGAUCUUGGUUACUCAUUUCAAAAUUAAAGAAACGACCAAGAUACUUAAAGGAAUCGCCAUUUUUGACAGCAGGUACUAUUUGGUUACAGAUGAAAAGUUUCGGUUGAAAUUGGAGGGAUCGCGUAGAGGGUUUCUUGACACCAAAGGUAACACAUUUGUCAACCCUGACAAUGAAGCUAGCCCAUUGGCACCAUCUGGUAAAGCAGUUUAAUAAGAGUUGGUUCUCCUCUUCUCCACUGGUAACAACAGCAGCAUCAUCAGCAAACUGAAACCAGUGUACUGGCUGAACCAUGCGGUCAUUCCCAUCAUGGGGGGAGAAACCAAGCUGCUUAUAUUUAUCUGAUUUGAUGUAUUGUAUGAGCGUUUUGAAGCAAAGGUUGAAAAGAAGGGGGCUGAGGCAGUCACCUUGCAAUACGCCACGGCGAACGGGAAUCGCAGGGGUUUGGAAUUUAACAGUUAUGAUACAGGUCUUAAAAUCUAGAUAUAAGCUUGAGACCAAUGAUUGAAUUUCCGAAGGUAUAUGAUGAUAAGCAAGAAUAGCUGGUAUCAGCUUGUGGUGAACUUCGCCAAAGGCGUUUUUGAGAUCCAGCAAAGAUACCACUAAAGAUCGUUGCUUAAUGCGAGCUUUAUUUAUUAAAUGGCUCAUCACUGCUGUGUGCCCUAAUGUACCUGAUACUUUUGAGGUGAAGCCUUUUUGAAUUUGGUGCUCGAUGAAGCCAUUGUGUUUCAGAAAAGUGAAGAGGGAGUCACGUAAGCAAGGAGUGAAUAUUUUUAAGGGCACUGAUUCUAAAGUGAUUGGCCUGAAAUUUGAUGGAUCAUCUGUGCUGUCUUUUCUGUGAAUCAAGAUAGUGGAGGCCUUUUUCCAUUCAGAUGGUACCUUACCUGAAAGCCAGACAACACGAAUUAUUUCAGUAAGAAAGGAACGAAGAUAGGGGCUUCGUUUGAAACAGAUGAUGGAUAUCUUAUCAAGUGGACAGGGAGAAGUAGAAGCUUUCAUACGCCUUAUGAUAGAAGUAAUGGUUUUGUAACUAGGUGGCUCUAGAUCAAAUGAAUAAGAUGGUUCAUUGAAAGUAGGGAUCCAUGAAGGAAUGGUGAAAUUUUUGUUAGGUGCGAUCGCAAAGUAUUCGGUACAUCCUGCAACAGAAAAAGUUGGAAGAGCUGAAGUUUCAUAUUGUAGAGUGCGCUUGACGUAAUUCCAGAAAUUCUUGAUAAUGUAACGGUCGUGGUUUGUUAUAUUGGAAGAUUUAGUGGGCGAGGUUUGUUUUUUUGAUUUUAUUACGAAGAAGGUUAGUGACAUAUUUGAUUUCAGUUAAAGGAGCAUUAGAAUGUUUCAAAGUUUUGAGUUCUUUUUUAAAUUCUUGGCUGUGAGAUUGGCGUAUUUUUCCUUGAGAUCUUCGUUGCAGCAUUCGAUUGUUCCACAAGUUUCUUUGAAGUAGUCGUAUAUGGAGUGGAAAUAUUUGUUAGCUAACAGCCAUUCCUGGUCAGAUCUUGGAAGACGAAUUCCAGGCUUGAUAUCAAAAUGAUCCUCAAGGGGAAUUUCAGCGUGACUAACAUUAUUCUCAAGGUCAGCAUCAUUCACGACCUCGAACAAUUGCUCUUCAUCAAAGCCUUUUAUGACUCUGCAGUUCUGAUGGAUGCGGAGGCCCUUUAUCCCUAUGCAUGACUUGCCGCAAGAACAUUUCACACAGCUUUGGUUGUUAAUAGCUGCAUCGCGAUUUCCGGAGUCAACGAGUGGAUAAUGAUAAUAAUAAUAAUAUAAUAAUAAUAACAACAUCAGCUUUCGAUGCAAACGUCAAACGUCUAGCCUACCAGCACAAAAACAGCCAGGUUGUGAAGUAAAAACCAACGCAGGAAAUAUGAACUAACCUUUGAUAUCUUUGUGAACUAUCUGCUUCGAGUGAAGAUACCGCAGCCCUUCGAGGAUUUGACAAAAAUAGUAUUUGCAGUCCCUUAAUGGCAAGCCACGGUCGAACUGUUCCCUGUACGCUUUCUUCAGAUCGUACAGUGUGCAGUCUGGAAAAUGCAAAGCCAUUUUAAAUAAUGAGAAUACAAAAAAAAGACUCAAUAGACCCAAUUUUUAAAGAAUCGUCUUUUACAAUUCUUAAUGUAUAUAUAUAUAUAUAUAUAUAUAUAUAUAUAUUUAUAUAUAUAUCUAGCUAUAUAUCUAGCUAUAUAUAUAUAAAAUCUUCACUAUAAAAAACCUAAAUGUACAAUAAAUAGUUCACAUAAUCUACAGAUGCACUUAAAGACUCAUUGCUAACAACGGGCCUUUGCGCUAAAGGCAAAUUGUCCAGGCGACGAUACAAACAAUGGCGGUAAACUUCCACGCAUUCAGCAAGGAAAUGCUAUGUGGGAUGCUUGCCCAGCACAAUGGCUUAUUGUUAGCAAUGAGUCUUCAAAGUUAUCUACAGAUUUCAUGUCCCAUUAAAAGAUAGCAAGUGAUUGGGACAAUUUAAUUGUUAUUUUUUUUAACUCGGCCAAUGAAUCGUAUAGUCUCCGUUUCUAGUCACAGGGGUGCUUAUGUCAUAAUGUAAUAUUUGUUGUUGUUGUUGCUGUUGUUGUUGUGGUUUUUGUUUUUAAUGUGUUUUAAAUCAUCAUUAUUAUUCUUAUUGGCUAAUUCAGUGAAUAUUCCAGAAGCCAUGGACUUGUUAUAAAAUUUUUGUGCAUGUAUCCCACGCAUGGUGCUUGAUGCGCAGUUCAAGUAAAAAAGCUCUGCUUGGCCGGGCCAGUUCGCUUGCAUGUGUUUAAGGCGGGAUCAUUAUCAAUUUAACCUAGAUCCCGGUUAUACGGGCUGGCUCAUUUGCAAAACAACGCAUUUGUAAAACAAGAGAAUUUCUUGAUACAAGUUAAAUAUCGGCGUGGCGAAUUAGCCCGGCUUCAACUCUAUAAAAACCUGCGAUGCAGGUAAGUUGAUUUCAUUGUGAGGUUACCUGCACGUUCCAUGAGGAUAAGACCGCGACUUUUCAUGCCGUUGCUAAGAGUCCUCUCGCAAUUGAAUUUUAUGAUGGCCAUUGCACCAAGUAGAUUUGGAUGGUUUUGGCGGAUCGCUCGGUAAAUUUCUGCUUCCUUUGUUGGGUCCUUCUUAACCUACAGAUAUAUAAAGUAUAACAAAAUGCAAUGGCCUAGCAGCUAGCAAGAUGGUCUGGAAUGACACAUCACAUGAUUUCGAAUCAUUUUGAACAAAAGCUGAAAACGCAUUUAAAGAAAAGACUAAACUUAAAGCACGUCUACACAUGUAUGCUACAGGGAUCUAUUCGUGUAAAAAUAACAUUAAAAUGAAGAAUGAAAAUGAAAAACUGCUGCAUAUUAGCUUACUGAUUAAUCAACUGAUUACCUUAGAACAAUUUACCCCACACCCAUUAAUUGGGAAGCUCUGUGUAGCAAAACUAAGUCAAUUAAUUUUAGAACAAAACUAAGUCAAUUAAUUCUAACAAAACUAAAUAAAUCUUAAUUGAAAACUGUUCUUAAUCCUCUGCUGAAAGAAACUGGGUAAAUUAUCAGUCUAACCAGAGCUGGCCUCGUUUUAUGUUCUUGUGUAGACUUAAAUGUAUUGACAUACCUCUUUCACAGCAAGGUCUGCCUCUACUUCUUUCUCCGCAUGGUAGAACCACCCCCUGUAUGCAUGGCCACCACCUCCUUUGCCAAGCUUUAUUUUAUGAAGGAACGUGAAAUCUACGUCCUCGCGCACAACGGAACCUUCUCUCAACAAGGUGGUUGUCUGAAAAAAAAAUUAAUCGAAACGUUACCUCGAGCUUAAAACAAAAGUGAUUAACAAACUGUGGUUUACAACCAAUGACAACAAAGAUUGGCAAAGAAUUAAAACAGUAACUGACACAUGAUGACAACAAUAAUUGUCAUCCAAAGAUAACAUUGAUACUUGCACUGUAGAUCACUCUCCCGUCUACUUUUCUCUCGUCUCUUCUUUGCAGCCAAGUUCUGCAAGAGAGUAUUGAAAACAAACAUUUAACUAAGCAAUAAGACCUAGACCAGAUUUCCAUACUGGACAAGUUUUCCAUACGGGAAUUAAAUUCCUGGCUGUAUGACUACAAACGGUAUGAUAAUUUCAUAUUAUACUGCAAAAAAUUGAUUGGUAGAAAGCAGACCAUAGUUUUACCCUGUCGCCGCAUUUUUUUUUCUUUAAAACAGUGCUUUAUUUGUGACUAGAAACAUAGAAAAUGCAGUGCAGAAUAUAAGGAAAAAUAUGACUAAAGUAGAAUUACACGUCCAGUCAUGUGACGGACAUUGCUUUUAUCAGUCAUAUUGUUCUUGUUCAUAAAAAAACCUUAAAGGCUCCCAAUUAAAGGUUUAGAAAGAAAACAUGGUAAAGUUUUCAGA